AACAACGGAUCUCUUGGCUCUCGCAUCGAUGAAGAACGCAGCGAAAUGCGAUAAGUAAUGUGAAUUGCAGAAUUCAGUGAAUCAUCGAAUCUUUGAACGCACCUUGCGCCCUUCUUCCGGAGGGCACGCCUGUUUGAGUGUCA
rnacentral:rRNA from 1 species